rnacentral:rRNA from 1 species
GACGAACGCUGGCGGCGUGCUUAACACAUGCAAGUCGAACGGUGAAGGGGUCUGCUUUUGUGGGCCCUGGAUGAGUGGCGAACGGGUGAGUAACACGUGAGUAACCUGCCCCCUUCUUCUGGAUAACCGCAUGAAAGUGUGGCUAAUACGGGAUAUUCUGGGUCUGUCGCAUGAUGGGUCUGGGAAAGAUUGCGCCUUUGGGUGUUUUUGGUGGGGGAUGGGCUCGCGACCUAUCAGCUUGUUGGUGGGGUGAUGGCCUACCAAGGCGGUGACGGGUAGCCGGCCUGAGAGGGUGGACGGUCACACUGGGACUGAGACACGGCCCAGACUCCUACGGGAGGCAGCAGUGGGGAAUAUUGCACAAUGGGCGCAAGCCUGAUGCAGCGACGCCGCGUGAGGGAUGGAGGCCUUCGGGUUGUAAACCUCUUUCGCCAGUGAAGCAGGCCUGCUCCUUGUGGGUGGGUUGACGGUAGCUGGAUAAGAAGCGCCGGCUAACUACGUG